rnacentral:tRNA from 1 species
GCUGAAGUUCUAUUUAAACUAUUCCCUG